GCACCGGUAGCGCAGUGAUUAGCGCUCGCCCUCGGAAAGGGUAGGAUUCGGGUUCGACUCCCGUCUGCGGCA